UACGUAGGGUGCAAGCGUUAAUCGGAAUACUGGGCGUAAAGCGUGCGCAGGCGGCUUUGCAAGACAGAUGUGAAAUCCCCGGGCUUAACCUGGGAACUGCAUUUGUGACUGCAUGGCUGGAGUGCGGCAGAGGGGGAUGGAAUUCCGCGUGUAGCAGUGAAAUGCGUAGAUAUCGGGAGGAACUCAGUGGCGAAGGCGGCCUU
rnacentral:rRNA from 1 species